GGAGAGAGAGAGAGGGAGAGAGAGAAAGAACUGUGGAGAUGUCGCAAGGAUGGCAGGGCCACCUCUAUAUAAACACUGGGGGCCGCUUAGCCACAAAAGCAUCUCCUGCAGGAGGAUCUAAUUGAGGACUUGCCUGAAAAACCAAGGAUUGCCGUCACAGACAAUGCCAGCCAAUCGGGAACUGCUGUUUAGAAGAGAUGCUUUCCUGGGCGCUGAUGGAGAGUAGUAAAGGAGCUUGCAGCGGUGCUCAGAUGAGUUUGCUACUGCCCUGUUUCUCACAGACUCCCAGAGUCUGUGUCAUUGACUCUGUGCCAUAUCACCUCCAACCUCUCAUCUCACCCGAGGGCAGGUAGGGCCAAGUGGAGCCAUGACAGGCACACAUGGACUAGAGACCAGAUGUCCAGUAAUGGGGCAUUUUGCUGGUCCUAGAUGAUAUAAAAAACCAGACUGAGCAAGCAAUGAGAAGCAAGCCAGUAAACUGCACUCCUCCAUGGCCUCUGCAUCAGCUCCUGCUUCCAAGGUUCCUGUCCUGUUUGAGUUCCUGUCCUGUCUUCCCACCGUGGUGGACUAUUAUUACUGGUUCUACCUCUGCAUCCUUGGCCUGCUCCCUGCCCCCGCUCCACCUUUAAGCUAUCAUCACCUGUUGGGAUGUUGUGGUUUAGAGGGCACGCCAGCCUGUCCUAGCCCUGCUCUACUCUGACUCCUGCUCAGUAGGAAGUGAAGAGUCUCCCUGACAUCCUUCUCCUGCUCCCUGCUACAACACACUCUGAAAGCUCUGAGCUGUGAGCAAAAUCUCCCCUUCUGACAGACUGACUGGUCUAAGAAAAGAAAGGAUGAGGUGAAUCCAUCGAAUCAGAAAAGAGAUCAGUGGCCGUGUUGCUCUUGGGAUGAAAUGGGCAGAUCACGUGACAGUCGACUGAGCACCACUCCAGAGUCAGCUAGGAUGAUGGAUGUGAUGGAAACUUGGGAUAUGCCACACUACAGACCCUAGAAUCCGUUUACUUCAUGACUAUGCUUACUGAUGUCAGCGACACUAAAGAGGGGGUGUCUUUGUUAACAUAGACUUUUUAUUAAAGAUUCAUUUUG
rnacentral:lncRNA from 1 species